UACGAAGGGGGCUAGCGUUGCUCGGAAUCACUGGGCGUAAAGCGCACGUAGGCGGAUUGCUAAGUCAGGGGUGAAAUCCUGGAGCUCAACCCCAGAACUGCCUUUGAUACUGGCGACCUUGAGUCCGGGAGAGGUGAGUGGAACUGCGAGUGUAGAGGUGAAAUUCGUAGAUAUUCGCAAGAACACCAGUGGCGAAGGCGGCUCACUGGCCCGGUACUGACGCUGAGGUGCGAAAGCGUGGGGGAGCAAACAGGG
rnacentral:rRNA from 1 species